GAUGAACGCUAGCGGGAGGCUUAACACAUGCAAGUCGAGGGGCAUCACGAGGUAGCAAUACUUUGGUGGCGACCGGCGCACGGGUGAGUAACACGUAUGCAACCUUCCCUGUACAGGGGGAUAACCCGGAGAAAUUCGGACUAAUACCCCAUGAUGAUAUUUAUGGGCAUCCAUUAAUAUUUAAAGCUCUGGCGGUACAGGAUGGGCAUGCGCGACAUUAGCUAGUUGGUAAGGUAACGGCUUACCAAGGCCACGAUGUUUAGGGGACCUGAGAGGGUUGUCCCCCACACUGGUACUGAGACACGGACCAGACUCCUACGGGAGGCAGCAGUGAGGAAUAUUGGUCAAUGGGCGCAAGCCUGAACCAGCCAUCCCGCGUGAAGGAAGAAUGCGCUACGCGUUGUAAACUUCUUUUCCAGGGGAGAAUAAUCCUGUCGUGACAGGACUUGACGGUACUCUGGGAAUAAGCAUCGGCUAACUCCGUGCCAGCAGCCGCGGUAAACACG
rnacentral:rRNA from 1 species